rnacentral:rRNA from 1 species
GUUAAGCGACUAAGCGUACACGGUGGAUGCCCUGGCAGUCAGAGGCGAUGAAGGACGUGCUAAUCUGCGAUAAGCGUCGGUAAGGUGAUAUGAACCGUUAUAACCGGCGAUUUCCGAAUGGGGAAACCCAGUGUGUUUCGACACACUAUCAUUAACUGAAUCCAUAGGUUAAUGAGGCGAACCGGGGGAACUGAAACAUCUAAGUACCCCGAGGAAAAGAAAUCAACCGAGAUUCCCCCAGUAGCGGCGAGCGAACGGGGAGCAGCCCAGAGCCUGAAUCAGUGUGUGUGUUAGUGGAAGCGUCUGGAAAGGCGCGCGAUACAGGGUGACAGCCCCGUACACAAAAAUGCACAUGCUGUGAGCUCGAUGAGUAGGGCGGGACACGUGGUAUCCUGUCUGAAUAUGGGGGGACCAUCCUCCAAGGCUAAAUACUCCUGACUGACCGAUAGUGAACCAGUACCGUGAGGGAAAGGCGAAAAGAACCCCGGCGAGGGGAGUGAAAAAGAACCUGAAACCGUGUACGUACAAGCAGUGGGAGCCUCUUUUAUGGGGUGACUGCGUACCUUUUGUAUAAUGGGUCAGCGACUUAUAUUCUGUAGCAAGGUUAACCGAAUAGGGGAGCCGAAGGGAAACCGAGUCUUAACUGGGCGUUAAGUUGCAGGGUAUAGACCCGAAACCCGGUGAUCUAGCCAUGGGCAGGUUGAAGGUUGGGUAACACUAACUGGAGGACCGAACCGACUAAUGUUGAAAAAUUAGCGGAUGACUUGUGGCUGGGGGUGAAAGGCCAAUCAAACCGGGAGAUAGCUGGUUCUCCCCGAAAGCUAUUUAGGUAGCGCCUCGUGAAUUCAUCUCCGGGGGUAGAGCACUGUUUCGGCAAGGGGGUCAUCCCGACUUACCAACCCGAUGCAAACUGCGAAUACCGGAGAAUGUUAUCACGGGAGACACACGGCGGGUGCUAACGUCCGUCGUGAAGAGGGAAACAACCCAGACCGCCAGCUAAGGUCCCAAAGUCAUGGUUAAGUGGGAAACGAUGUGGGAAGGCCCAGACAGCCAGGAUGUUGGCUUAGAAGCAGCCAUCAUUUAAAGAAAGCGUAAUAGCUCACUGGUCGAGUCGGCCUGCGCGGAAGAUGUAACGGGGCUAAACCAUGCACCGAAGCUGCGGCAGCGACGCUUAUGCGUUGUUGGGUAGGGGAGCGUUCUGUAAGCCUGUGAAGGUGUGCUGUGAGGCAUGCUGGAGGUAUCAGAAGUGCGAAUGCUGACAUAAGUAACGAUAAAGCGGGUGAAAAGCCCGCUCGCCGGAAGACCAAGGGUUCCUGUCCAACGUUAAUCGGGGCAGGGUGAGUCGACCCCUAAGGCGAGGCCGAAAGGCGUAGUCGAUGGGAAACAGGUUAAUAUUCCUGUACUUGGUGUUACUGCGAAGGGGGGACGGAGAAGGCUAUGUUGGCCGGGCGACGGUUGUCCCGGUUUAAGCGUGUAGGCUGGUUUUCCAGGCAAAUCCGGAAAAUCAAGGCUGAGGCGUGAUGACGAGGCACUACGGUGCUGAAGCAACAAAUGCCCUGCUUCCAGGAAAAGCCUCUAAGCAUCAGGUAACAUCAAAUCGUACCCCAAACCGACACAGGUGGUCAGGUAGAGAAUACCAAGGCGCUUGAGAGAACUCGGGUGAAGGAACUAGGCAAAAUGG